ensembl:lncRNA
GACAGACAGGUGCUCUCCUCAGGUGGGUAGGUGAACAGACAGACAGGUGCUCUCCUCAGGUAGGUGAACAGACAGACAGGUGCUCUCCUCAGGGAGGAGGACAGACAGACAGGUGCUCUCCUCAGGUAGGAGGACAGACAGACAGGUGCUCUCCUCAGGUAGGAGGACAGACAGACAGGUGCUCUCCUCAGGGAGGAGGACAGACAGACAGGUGCUCUCCUCAGGUAGGAGGACAGACAGACAGGUGCUCUCCUCAGGUAGGAGGACAGACAGACAGGUGCUCUCCUCAGGUAGGAGGACAGACAGACAGGUG